ACAUACAUACAUAUGUCUGUACCCUUUAGUACCAAAUUGUCGCCGUAGACAAUGUCGCCCAAUUGUCCUAGCCACAGACGUCGGCAGAGAAAAAUUCUGCCAGCGUUUUUCAUGCUGAGGUUAGCCGACGGCAGUGAAAAAGUAUUAGUGAUUUCUAAUUGAUUUUUGAUAUAAAUAAAGCAACUGGUUUAGAAAUAAUUGACUUCAAGAACAGCAUUACGUCGGAAAUUCAUAAAAGCUAACCUCUCAAGUAGCUGGAGACAACUCCCUCUUGUGAAGAGCCACAACCUGGAUAAGAAACACAUAAAGUUGAGCCUUAGAACCUAUCUAAAGGCUUUGAACAUUCUUCUCGAAGCAGUUUAAAACACUUUCCCGGGGCAGCCUCCGGAAGUUGGGCUUCAGAAUGCAAUGGCCUGAGCUUAAAAUAUGGACAACAAAACAAAAAAUUGAAAAUUGAA